rnacentral:rRNA from 1 species
AUGUCCGCUGGGCUGAAAGCUUUGGUUGUCAGUGGUGCACCUUUUGUAGAGAAGAGGGACGGCUUAGGGUUUGAGGACCAUGCAACAAUUUUGCUGGGUGGCAGGCUGGUAAUCAAUGGGGAAGUUGAUUUUAUGGGGAACGAUGGUCCUUGUCAGGAAGACAGUGCCGGUCGGUCUGCAAACGUGAAUGCCCUGCAAGGUCUAGCUCCUCCGGACAAGCACACAGAGGGGUCGGGUAGCCGACAAACAGUAGAGAAAAAGCCUCUUAUGAGGGCUGAGCAAACGGAUACAGUUCUGCAGCAUAUGUCGGCGUGA